rnacentral:rRNA from 1 species
GCCUUCAAGUGAGCAGUUCUUGAGAGCGGCGAAAAGGGAGAGUAAACGCGUAGUUAACGUACCCCGGGUUCGGGAAUAGCCACGGGAAACUGUGGGUAAUGCCCGAUAACAUCUUCGGAUCAAAGGUGUGAUUCCGCCCUGGGAGCGGACUGCGUUGUACUAGCUUGUUGGUAGGGUAUGGCCUACCAAGGCUAUGAUGCAUAGCGGGUGUGAGAGCAUGACCCGUCUCACUGGGACUGAGACACUGCCCAGACACCUACGGGUGGCUGCAGUCGAGAAUCUUCGGCAAUGGGCGAAAGCCUGACCGAGCGACGCCGCGUGCGGGAUGAAGGCCUUCGGGUUGUAAACCGCGAAAGUAGGGAGGAAGGCUUCGUGAAGAACGAGGUUUGACCGAUCUACAGUAAGGAC